AGCUUUGCUCAGUGGCAGUAUUGUAGCCAAUGAAGUUUAUCUGAGGCACGAUUAUUGCUAAUUGAAAACUUUUCCCCAUACCCCACUGUGACAACUUGCAAUGUAGUCAGCAUUAGCAAUUUUUGACAGUCCCUAUAGGGA
rnacentral:snRNA from 1 species